CUCCAAUAGCGUAUAUUAAAGUUGUUGCAGUUAAAAAGCUCGUAGUUGAAUUUCGGGGUCAGUAGGUCGGUCGUGCCACUGGUAUGAACUGGUUUUACUGAUUCCUCCCUCUUGAAGAACUGUAAUGCCAUUAAUUUGGUGUUGCAGGGAAUCAGGACUGUUACUUUGAAAAAAUUAGAGUGUUUAAAGCAGGCUUUAGCUUGAAUACAUUAGCAUGGAAUAAUGAAAUAGGACGUUUGAUCCUAUUUUGUUGGUUUCUAGGAUUGACGUAAUGAUUAAUAGGGAUAGUUGGGGGCAUUAGUAUUCAAUUGUCAGAGGUGAAAUUCUUGGAUUUAUUGAAGACUAACUACUGCGAAAGCAUUUGCCAAGGAUGUUUUCAUUAAUCAAGAACGAAAGUUAGGGGAUCGAAGACGAUCAGAUACCGUCGUAGUCUUAACCAUAAACUAUGCCGACUAGGGAUCGGAUGAUGUUAAUUUUUUAAUGACUCAUUC
rnacentral:rRNA from 1 species